rnacentral:rRNA from 1 species
GCGACACCGCGUGAAGGAUGACACUCUUUUCGAGCGUAAACUUCUGYUCUGAGGGACGAAAUUUUUGACGGUACCUCAGGAGAAAGCACCGGCUAAUUCCGUGCCAGCAGCCGCGGUAAGACGGAAGGUGCAAGCGUUACUCGGAAUUACUGGGCGUAAAGCGUCCGCAGGCGUCCCACCCAGUCUGGCGUAAAAGCGAGGAGCUCAACUCCGCGUUCGUGCCGGAAACUAGUGGGAUAGAGUCAUUCAGAGGCAUCUGGAAUGCCAUGUGUAGGGGUAAAAUCCGUUGAUCCAUGGUAGAACGCCGAAAGCGAAGGCAGGGUGCUGGGAAUGUACUGACGCUCAGGGACGAAAGCGUGGGGAGCGAAGGGGAUUAGAUACCCCCGUAGUCCACGCCCUAAACGAUGUGUGCUCGGUGUGAGAUCGUUCAAUCUGAUUUCGUGCCCAAGCUAACGCGGUAAGCACACCGCCUGAGUAGUACGGCCGCAAGGCUAAAACUUARAGGAAUAGACGGGGACCCACACAAGCGGUGGAGCAUGGGGUUUAAUUCGAUAAUAAGCGGAGAACCUCACCUAGGCUUGACAUCCUGAGAACAUUCUCGAAAGAGAAAAGUGCCGCAAGGAACUCAGUGACAGGUGAUGCACGGUCGUCGUCAGCUCGUGCCUUGAGGUGUACUGUUAAGUCAGCAAACGAGCGCAACCCUCAUCCUAUGUUGCUUUU